rnacentral:rRNA from 1 species
UUCGGGAUUGGAGUAAUCAUAAAUAGAGACGGUUGGGGGCAUUCGUAUUCCAUUGUSAGAGGUGAAAUUCUUGGAUUUAUGGAUGACGAACUUCUGCGAAAGCAUUUGCCAAGGACGUUCUCAUUAAUCAAGAAYGAAAGUUGGGGGAUCGAAGACGAUCAGAUACCGUCCUAGUCUCAACCAUAAACGAUGCCGACUGGGGAUUGGCGGAUGUCUAUUGGAUGACUCUGCGAGUGCCUUGUGAGAAAUCAAAGUUUAUGGGUUCCGAGGGGAGUAUGGUCGCAAGGCUGAAACUUAAAGGAAUUGAUGGAAGGGCACCACCAGGUGUGGAGCCUGCGGCUUAAUUUGACUCAACACGGUGAAACUCACCAGGUCCAGACAUAGMAAGGAUUGACAGAUUGAGAGCUCUUUCUUGAUUCUAUGGGUGGUGGUGCUUGGCCGUUCUUAGUUGGUGGAGUGAUUUGUCUGGUUAAUUCCGUUAACGAACGAGACCUCAGCCUGCUAAAUAGCUACGCGGGGACCUUUCCUCGUGGCCAGCUUCUUAGAGGGACUGUUGGACGACUAGCCAACGAUAGUUUGAGGCGAUAACAAGUCUGUGAUGCCCUUAGAUGUUCUGGGCCGCACUCGCGCUACACUGAUGAAUCCAACGAGUCGCUUGCCUGGGUCGAAAGGCCCGGGUAACCUUCUUAAGGUUCAUCGUGACGGGGAUAGAUUGUUGUAAUUAUCGAUCUUGAACGAGGAAUGCCUAGUAAGCGCGAGUCAUCAGCUCGCGCUGAUUACGUCCCUGCCCUUUGUACACUCCGCCCGUCGCUCCUACCGAUUGAAUGGUCCGGUGAAGUGUCUGGAUUGCGGUGAUCUCGGCGGUUUGCCGCUGGGGUGCUGUGAGAAGUUAAUUGAACCUUGUCAUUUAGAGGAAGGUGAAGUUGUAACAAGGUUUCCGUAGGUGAACAUGCGGAAG